UACGGAGGGUGCAAGCGUUAUCCGGAUUCACUGGGUUUAAAGGGUGCGUAGGUGGCUUUGUAAGUCAGCGGUGAAAGCCUGGAGCUCAACUCCAGAAUUGCCAUUGAUACUGCAGAGCUUGAAUCAAGUUGAGGUGGAUGGAAUAUUACAUGUAGCGGUGAAAUGCUUAGAUAUGUAAUAGAACACCGAUUGCGAAGGCAGUUCACUAAGCUUGUAUUGACACUGAGGCACGAAAGCGUGGGGAUCAAACAGG
rnacentral:rRNA from 1 species